AUUGAACGCUGGCGGCAGGCUUAACACAUGCAAGUCGAGCGGAGAUGAGGUGCUUGCACCUUAUCUUAGCGGCGGACGGGUGAGUAAUGCUUAGGAAUCUGCCUAUUAGUGGGGGACAACAUUCCGAAAGGAAUGCUAAUACCGCAUACGUCCUACGGGAGAAAGCAGGGGAUCUUCGGACCUUGCGCUAAUAGAUGAGCCUAAGUCGGAUUAGCUAGUUGGUGGGGUAAAGGCCUACCAAGGCGACGAUCUGUAGCGGGUCUGAGAGGAUGAUCCGCCACACUGGGACUGAAACACGGACCAGACUUCUACGGGAGGCAGCAGUGGGGAAUAUUGGACGAAGGGGGGAACACUGAUCCAGGCAUGCCGCGUGUGUGAAGAAGGCCUUAUGGUUGUAAAGCACUUUAAGCGAGGAGGAGGCUACUGAGACUAAUACUCUUGGAUAGUGGACGUUACUCGCAGAAUAAGCACCGGCUAACUCUGUGCCAGCCGCCGCCGUAACAC
rnacentral:rRNA from 1 species